rnacentral:tRNA from 1 species
ACCCGCAGAAGUCCGGGCUAGGGGGAUCGUUCGUAAUGAUGGGGUCACAGGUUCGAGUCCUGUAAGCGGCACCA